CGCGUUUUAUAAGUUGCCAAGGCAUCAAAAUCAUCUUAUAGUUAUUGCCAGUAUAACAAACCCUAGCUCAUUUGCACCAUAACCGUUCAGUCACAAAUGGAGGGUGGGCUGAAGACAUUUUUGGUACAAUUUAUGAUACUGCUCGUAGAGUAAGUGAUGGCAUUGCUGAAGUUUUUGCCCCAGAAGAGGAUCACAAGGGACCGUAUCCUGCAAUAAAUGACGUAGAUCAGAAUGAAACAGAUUAUUUUGAGCUACACGAUCACAAUUCAGAAGAAAAUCCGUUUGAAUCAUCGAUGCCUGAAGUUAGUACUCUACAAGUCACCGAUAGUACAAAUAGUAAUUCAACAACUGAUGCUAUAAAUGAAAGGCGUAGCACCUUUGGUGGUUGCCGGCCUGGGCAAUAUCGAACUAACGACGGUAGAUGCGUGGACAAGUUUUAAACGUUACUUUGGAAAUAUAUAUAUUUUAUGAUUA